CAGAGUAGAAGUUUGUGCGUUAAGUGUCGGCUGAACGGGGAGUUGUCAGCCGGACGAAAAGGCAUGCACUGUCUUGCGGUACAGGCUUCGCAUCCCGCU
rnacentral:ncRNA from 1 species